CUGCGAAAUGGAAUAUAUAUCUCUAAAGGAUUUGACACUGACACAACAACACGCCAAAAUCAAAAUCAGGGUUAGCAGAAUUUGGGAAUCGACAACGCCACAGCUUAAGAAAGAUAUUCUUAGCCUAGGUUGCCUUCUUAUAGAUGAAGAGGAAUAUGCAAUGCAAGCAACCAUUCGCAAACAUGAUGCAACCACUUUUAGAGCUUUACUUUCUGAAGGCAAUGCGUACAUAAUAGAAAACUUUAAUGUUAUACCAAGUAGAAAUACCUACAAAGUUGUCGAUCGCAGAUAUAUGAUCCAGAUUAGUAAAUGGACGCGUAUUAUUGAAGCAAAAGAAGAUGCUGCUCAGAUUCCUUUUCACAAUUUUUACUUUCUGAGCUUUGAUUAUAUAAAAAAUAAAAAAUAUGCAGAUGGUUGCCUUAUAGGUAUUGCAGUUUCACUUUCUUAUCUCAUUCCCCUUUUUUGGGAUAACUUAAAAAAUGAAUAAUAUCUAAUAACAUUUAUGUGUUUUUAUAUAUCUUCAGAUGUUAUCGGAAAUAUUGUAGCGACAGGUACAAUUUCUUAUACAUAUGUAGGACAAGAACGAACUGCAAUAAGAAAAUUGCAGAUUGGAAACUUAGAGGAUGAAACAUUAUCCGUCACAUUAUGGGACAAAUUUGCUAUUGAAUUUAAUGAUAACCAGCAUCAGGAAAAAGUCGAUGGUCCAGCUAUUGUUAUUUUUGCAAGUAUGAGUGUGCGAACCUACAGAGAUCAGCUCUAUAUAUCAACAUGUUCGGCAUAAAAAAUCUACGGCAAUUUGGAAAUACAAGAAGUUG